rnacentral:lncRNA from 1 species
UGCUGAUGCUCUAAGAGUCUGAUACAGGGCAAGCUUGCAUAUCUCUGCUGAUGCUCUAAGAGUCUGAUACAGGGCAAGCUUGCAUAUCUCUGCUGAUGCUCUAAGAGUCUGAUACAGGGCAAGCUUGCAUAUCUCUGCUGAUGCUCUCAGAGUCUGACACAGGGCAAGCUUGCAUAUCUCUGCUGAUGCUCUAAGAGUCUGACACAGGGCAAGCUUGCAUAUCUCUGCUGAUGCUCUAAGAGUCUGACACAGGGCAAGCUUGCAUAUCUCUGCUGAUGCUCUAAGA